GCCCGAUACAAGAGCAAUAAGAGCUGUUGUAUCAAAAUUUAUAAGAUCACCAUCGGGUUUAACUUUGGGAGACCAUAACUUGAGUCUUGAAAUAAGAGAACAAAGCCCAUCAUCCUCAUCCAAGUUUACUUUGGUGUGCUCNUGAAGCUCUAGCCCAACAGAAUCAACAACUGAUUCUUGAACAGACCCACAUUCCGAAUUCCUGUCAACCUUUAUCUGAAGAAAAAGCGAAUGUUUAUAUGGUGUUCGAAGCACAUUUAUCCAAUCCCCUUCCAAUUCCUCGCAGAAAUCAAUCUCAAAUGCCCCAAAUUCGUC
rnacentral:misc_RNA from 1 species